CGAUCAAUGCGGAAGAGGUCUCGUGGUACUAGAUAUGAACCAUGCGAGAGGUUGAUUUAUACUGAUGUAUAAAUAUACAUAUCUCGUAUAAGUUAACAAUCACUUAUCUCAGGAGUUCGCCUUGCAGAAUUUUAAUAACGAAAUGAUAUGGAUAGUUUCAAUACCGGUUCUAAUGACUAUUAGAACAGUACGAGAUACAGUAGUCCUCAUACGCGUAAGGAUUAAUUAUGCUUUCGGCAUUGCGUUUCGCUCUGGCAACCGAGAGCUCGAAUAAUGUCGAGUGGAAAACGAUCGUGAUGGCAGAAGUGAGAAAAGCAGGAUAGUCCGUUGACUCGCCAUAGGCGCCAUACUUCCCGUUCCCGAGUUCUUAUUUAUUCCCGUCUAAAAUCUCAUUUUCCUUGAAAUAUCGAGCUAUACCCAGCGGAACGUGCAUUCGCAGUAUGAUUUUUCAUUAAAGUGUCUCGGCCAACUGAGAUAUGGCCGGGACAUUGAAUGUAGCUACUCCAACGAGUUGGAGAAGAACGGUCGUAUGGGAAAUUCUCGAGAUAAAAUGUGUAAGAGAAAAAGAAAAAGAAAAAGAAUAAAAGAAUAAAAGAAAGAGAGAAUGAAGUAAGAGAGAAAAAGAGAUAAUAGGGAUGCGAGAGAAGAGAGGAAAGAGGUUAGAAGGUGGAGUCAACUUUUGUGCAAUACCACAGCUAUGAUGUACGACCAACCUACUUUCCCCAUGAGUGAGAUGUAUCUUUCCCGUAACAAAAUUAAUUGAGAUCGAUGAUGAUCAUGUCAAGUGACUCAUCUCUUAUAAGCCCUUCAAAAUCGUUAUAUUUUUUUCCCCAAAGAAAUUCAGCCUAUCACGGUAGAAAAUCAUUUUGAGUAUUAUGGAGGGCGUAUGAUUGUAAGAAAUAGAGAAAAGUGACAAAGCGGAUAUCGAGUUCUUGCUAACGAGGUUCGACGAUCUCAGCUAGAAGAAUACUCUUUGAGUUGGCCCCAGGUCGCGUCCUGAUCAAACACAUUAGCUUCGACUUCCGGUCGAUCGUGAGCAUCAAAAUGGAUUGGCAUUGUCGUAGAAGAGCGAUGACAAGCCAUUGUCACGAGGUGCAACUCGCGAUGGUGUUCGUUUGUCGAGGAAAUGGGGAAGUCGAGUGGCUCUUUCGAGCCCUCCAGAUCGUCCACGAAGUUACCACGAAUCAGAGGGUGGGAGUUCCAAAAGCUAUCUCUUUACUCAAAGACCAACCGGAAUGGAUGGUGGUCUUUGAUAACAUGACAUUAUUCAUCGUUAUACUUUUAAUUUGAAACGUGUCAUGUAAUGUCUUCUCUUAA